rnacentral:lncRNA from 1 species
UGUUGGAUUGAGUUGGAAUCGUUCCAACCCAUCGAAAGGAGUUUUGAUAAUACUGUAAUGGAGAUCACGAUAUGUCUCACUAUCAGAUAGAAUAGAAUCUAAGAGAUUACACAAAAAAGAAUCUCGACCUCAAUAGCUUGGAUCAUAAUCAAAUUAUCAAUUGGAUUGAUGAUUUGGAUCAAUUUAUAAAAGUUACAAAUUU